rnacentral:lncRNA from 1 species
AAGCAACCACCCAAAAGCACACAAAAUCCAGUAACAGAUCGUCUAGUAUCAGGGCAUGCAGCCCAGUCACUGUCAGAAUAGCCAGUAACAGAGAAAUCAGCAUGAGCAGAAUAAAAUAAACCCAAGGAAGGAGUACCCUUAAGGUAUCUCAGAACAUGCAGGGCAGCAGUCAUAUGGGAGUCUGGGGCAUUUGAGGAAUUGACUUAGAUGUUGGACUGCAAAGCAUAUGUCAGGCCUAGUAUGAGUCAGAAACAACAUCUUACCAACUUUGACUCACAUGUUGGACUGCAAAGCAUAUGUCAGGCCUAGUAUGAGUCAGAAACAACAUUUUACCAACUAGACUCCUGUACUGGUCAGGAGAGGAUAAAAGGUCACCAAAAUCAGCAUGAAGUUUGACAUUAAUGUCCAAAGGAGAAACAACAGAGGAGACAUUUGUACAAUCAAACUGAUGCAGUAAAUCAGAAAUAUACUUAUGCUGAUUAAGGAUCAUUCCACCAGGAACAACUGAAAUUUCAAGACCCAAAAAAAUAAUGCAAAGAUCCCAAGUCUUUGAUCUUAAACUGAUCAUCCAGAAACAGUUUCAGUGCAGUAAUUUCAUCACUGUCAUCCCCUGUAAGGAUAAUAUCAUCCACAUAGACUGCCACCACCACAAGAGAGCCAAGUUUACCUUUGAUGAACAAAGAAUAGUCAUUCAAAGAAUGUUUGUACCCUCUGGAAUAAAGAGCAGAAGACAACUUGGCAUACCAUUGUCUGGAUNNNN